CAACCUUGUCCUCAGGGUCCAGUUUUCCCAGGAAUCCCUUAGGUGCUAAGAUGGGGAUUCCUGGAAAUACUGUUCUUGAGGUCAUGGCU
rnacentral:pre_miRNA from 12 species